rnacentral:lncRNA from 1 species
UGUGUCCAGAAGAAACACCCUCAGGAACAGCACCCAAAAUCACACUGAAAAGUGGUUUAGUGGGAAGCACUGGUAGGCACAGACAGCUCUGACUUCAGCACCAUUGUCACCAACGUGACCAAUGCUGGAUACACGACUACAGCCUCUUAUGCUGUUGGCUCUGGAAACAGGAUGUAACUGCUGCCAUUAUCCCCAGAAUAGAUUCUGGAGGGAGCUCAUGAUUUGAAGUCUAAUAUGGGUACAUCUGUUUGGCUGCAUCUCUGCAUCAAGAGAGGCUGGGAAUGAGUAUCUGAUUUCUGUAGUCAGAGGCUAUUGCCACAUCCCACCAAGAGCUAUAGAGCAGGGAGCGCCCCCAAAUGGAGGAAAAGUGUUUACUGGGCAAAAAGAAUCACCAAAGUCUACAAAGCCUUUGACUACCCAACAUCAGCAAGUACACACACACACACACACACACACACACACACUUAAAUAAACAAAACAAAGUAACAGAAAAUAAUAUUUAUAAACCCCUUUUAGCCCACAUACACACAAAAAUACUCUUUUCAAAAGGGGAUCAGGACACAUCAGUUACUGCAUCCAGCUCCAAGUCAGCUUCCAAUUCCAUCCCAGGGCAGAUCACCUAUGUCUUCAUUCCAGCUUCUUGGUGGCUGGGAAAGUGAGUUUACCGAUCAAGUGCUGGGUGGCUGUGAUGUUUUACAAAUGUCCACCAGAGUCCAUGUCAGUUUCUCUCCUCCUCUCCUUCUCUCUCCCUGUCAUUCCUUCUCUCCUGUCUCUCAUUCUUUCUCUCUCUUUCUCUCUGUCAUUCCUUCUCUCCGUCUCUCUGUCUCUCAUUCCUUCUCUCUCUCAUUCCUUUUCUCCUCUUUCUCGUUCCUUCUCUCUCUUUCUGUCAUUCCUUCUCUCCUUCUCUCUCAUUUCUUCUCUCCUUCUCUCUCUCAUUCAUUCUCUUUCUCUCAUUCCUUCUCUCCUUCUCACUCUCAUUCCUUAUCUACUUCUCUCUCCCUCAAUCUUUCUGUCAUUCUCUCUCUCAUUCCUUCUCUACUUCUCUCUCCCUCAAUCUUUCUGUCCUUCUCUCUCUCAUUCCUUCUCUCUUUCUCUCUCUCAUUCCUUCUCUCUUUCUCUCUGUCAUUCCUUCUCUCCUUCUCUCUCUCUCAUUCCUUCUCUUUCUCUCAUUCCUUCUCUCCCAUUCCUUCUCUCCUUCUCUUUCUCUCAUUCCUUCUCUCUCUCACUCCUUCUCUCCUGUCUCUCUCAUUCCUUCUGUCCUUCUCUCUCUCUCUCAUCCUGUCUCUCUCUCUCAUUCUUUCUCUCCUUCUCUCUCUCAUCACUUCUCUCUCUCUCUCAUUCCUUCUCUCUCUCUCGCUCUCUCUCAUCCCUUCUCCAAUCUGCAUAUAAGGGGACCCAUACAGUUCAAACCCAUGUUGUUCAAGGCUCAACUGUAAUUGUACAUGUAGAAAAUCUAAAAUAAUCUACGGAUAAGCCAUUAGAUUAUAAUAAAUUUAGUGGGCUCCCUGGAUACAAGGUCAGUAUACAGAAAUGCAUUGUAUUUCUUCAUACUAAGAGACAAACAAUAAUAAAAUGAAAUAAAUAAUUUAUGAUAUUAGAACACAUCAAAUACCUAAGAAUAUAUCCAGGAAAUAAUUUUCAUGACACUGAAACUACAAAGCAUUGUUAAAAUAAGUGAAAGACCUAAAUAAUUGGAGAGAUACUAUGAAUUGAAUCCCAAACUGUUGGGAUUACAGGCAUGAGCCACUGUGCCCAGCCAAAGAAAGUGAAUCUUGAUUCCCUCCUCACAUCACACAUAAAAAUCAAUUGCUGAUUAUGACAGAUUUAAAGCUUAAAAUAAAACAAUAAAACUUACAGAAAAAAUCAGAGGAGGAUAUGUUCACGAUCUAGGGAUAUGCAAAUAUUCUACACAACAUUAAAAGAACUGAUAGAUAGAAGAAAACAUUUAUAACUUGGACUUCACU